rnacentral:rRNA from 1 species
AUUGAACGCUGGCGGCAUGCUUUACACAUGCAAGUCGAACGGUACCAGGGUGCUUGCACCGCUGACGAGUGGUGAACGGGUGAGUAAUGCGUCGGAACGUGCCGAGUAGUGGGGGAUAACGCAGCGAAAGUUGUGCUAAUACCGCAUACGUACUGAGGUAGAAAGUGGGGGACCUUCGGGCCUCACGCUAUUCGAGCGGCCGACGUCUGAUUAGCUAGUAGGUGAGGUAAAGGCUCACCUAGGCGACGAUCAGUAGCGGGUCUGAGAGGAUGAUCCGCCACACUGGGACUGGGACACGGCCCAGACUCCUACGGGAGGCAGCAGUGGGGAAUUUUGGACAAUGGGCGAAAGCCUGAUCCAGCCAUGCCGCGUGUCUGAAGAAGGCCUUCGGGUUGUAAAGGACUUUCGUCGGGGAGGAAAUCCCCAGCGUUAAUACCGCUGGGGGAUGACAGUACCUGAAGAAUAAGCACCGGCUAACUACGUGCCAGCAGCCGCUGUAACAC